rnacentral:lncRNA from 1 species
CCCAAAUUCCACCUGUGCAGAGUCACGGCUGAGGUCUGCUGCUCUCCCUGGAAAGAGUGUCGUACCUGCACUCCCUAUGAGUUUUCUGGACCAGUCCUCGAGAUGGGAAAGUGGGUGUAGCGCGUCUGGGACGCGGGACCCAGGGAAAGGAGAGGCGAGCGAGGCCGCCUAGGCGAGUAUAGGGGAGAAAGAGAAAAUGCCAGAGGCCGAGGACAGAUUCACAGCUCAAGAUCUGGCUCCCUGAAGCACUACAGGAUGCUGAGAGAGGGUCAUUCCAGGGAAUGCAAUUGUAGCCUCCAUGUGGGAGCCAUCCUGAAGCAUUUGAAGGAUCCCAAGUGGUGGCAGGGCAGAUAGUCCUUGGGACCAGAAGCUCUGGAGUCUGACAGAUCUACUUCUACUUCUGGCCUGUCCGGCAAGGACGAUCUCCUAACACUUCUUUCCAGUCUCUUCCGAGGAUGAAGUGGACGGACCCACAGCAACAAGUUCACGUGGAACCAGAGCCAGAAUGGAACUGUGCAGAAGGCCGUCAUGAAAGUGGAGCCAGGCUGUGGCCAAGGGGGGCUGGGAGUGGCCUCUCCCUCAGCUCCCCACCAUCCUCUGGGCUGGAAGAUUGAGGCUUCACUGUCUUGGGUAAAGUGCUCUGGGACCCAGCUCCAAGUCCUUCUUCCCAAUCAGAAACCCAGUCCAGAUAGAAAGACUAUAAAAUUUUUUUAAAGUACAAAUAAAUACAAAGGACAGUUUUAAAUUUAUCAGCUAGUAUAUACUCACUUCGCCUCAUUUGUUUUACAGUACUGGGCCUUGAUGCAUGCUAGGCAAACACUCUACCACUG